AAGUCGUAACAAGGUUUCCGUAGGUGAACCUGCGGAAGGAUCAUUAACACGUAUCCACGUAUCAACCAAUGAGAACCUGUUUUCCCGUCUCCCUGUGCAAAGAAUGAAUUGGAACCAGUUUGAGGGAUUGAUGGGACCGAAAGGUCGGCCUUCCUGGUAUACUUACGUAAAUAGAAAUGUUUGCGUAGACAAUUGUAUUUUUGUUACAGGCUAUUUCUUAUCGCUUUGAUCCCCAUCAUGAUCGUGGCGGUAGGGAAACUUUCACUAUAUUUACCUUUUUUGCUAGUUGACUUUUUAUAUGUGUUGUCUUGCGAAAGCAUGGUGGCACACGUUUAUUAAUUGAACGUUAAAAAAUACAACUCUUAGCAAUGGAUAUCUUGGUUCUC
rnacentral:misc_RNA from 1 species